rnacentral:rRNA from 1 species
AUUGAACGCUGGCGGCAGGCCUAACACAUGCAAGUCGAACGGUAACAGGAAGAAGCUUGCUUCUUUGCUGACGAGUGGCGGACGGGUGAGUAAUGUCUGGGAAACUGCCUGAUGGAGGGGGAUAACUACUGGAAACGGUAGCUAAUACCGCAUAACGUCGCAAGACCAAAGAGGGGGACCUUCGGGCCUCUUGCCAUCGGAUGUGCCCAGAUGGGAUUAGCUAGUAGGUGGGGUAACGGCUCACCUAGGCGACGAUCCCUAGCUGGUCUGAGAGGAUGACCAGCCACACUGGAACUGCGCCACGGUCCAGACUCCUACGGGAGGCAGCAGUGGGGAAUAUUGCACAAUGGGCGCAAGCCUGAUGCAGCCAUGCCGCGUGUAUGAAGAAGGCCUUCGGGUUGUAAAGUACUUUCAGCGGGGAGGAAGGGAGUAAAGUUAAUACCUUUGCUCAUUGACGUUACCCGCAGAAGCAGCACCGGCUAACUCC